rnacentral:lncRNA from 1 species
UAAUUCUUUAGGACUUUUGGGGUAGAAAAGUUUUAAGAGGAUAAAUGGUUGUGUUUUGUCAGUGCUUAGUCUUGAUUUUUCCUCACCACUUGUCUUUAAUCCAGAUUAUUGGAUUUGCAACUCAGUUUCUGUAUGCCAAGAUAUCUGUAUUCACCUUUCAGUCAGAGAUAUUAGAUGUAUUCCACUAUUCAGUGUAGUCUCAACUCUGUUCAGAAACUGGGAGGGUGGAUACCCUCUAUUUUCCUAGUAACUGGUGACUGUUGAAGGUUGGGUUUCUUUCAUACUGGAUUGGCCAAGGAAUAUUGUGUACUUCCACAUAGCUUUCAUCCUUCAUCUGAAAAAACCCUAAAAAAAGUUCUUCCUAGUAGGUAGGACAGAGAAAACCUUAAAAAGUUAGAGAUCAGCUGUGACAAGAUAAUGGGUUCUCCUGAACAGCAGCUUCAAAUUCAAUUUUCCUCGUUCUUCAAAAGAAGCUGGCAGGAGUGAGGACGGUCUUGAUAUUUAUCUUAACUGGAGGAUGCCUUGAAGAAAGGUAAACCUGAGGUGUAGAUUUAGGAACAUUUUGAAUUAACUUAAAGUUUUUUAAAAUGUUUGGGGUUUCCCUGUUAGGGUGAAUUGCCAUGAGCAUAACAUGGAAUUUGAUUUCAGCCAUUCCAUGGGUUAAGGGAUGGUUUUGUGUUGAACUGCGGCAGCUUUGGCCACUAAUCAGGAUUUGGGGUCACACACCUGUAUCUGUUAAGUGAAAUGGAUGUAGGCUUCAUGGACACUAUUGACCAACUUGAGUCAAGACUUCAUUUUGUUAAAAUUAAUUAGAGAUCCUCUCUUUAAAUAUUUAAAAUUCAAAUUAGCCCAAUAAGAAAGCAGUGCAUUAAAAAGCAUAUAAAAAUACUUUACAACUUAUUCUACACACCCUAUAUACUUCCUGUGGAAAGAAUGGUAUAUAAAAAUUUACAUGUCGGGUAAGUUCUUGUAAGAAACCCAAGAGUUUCAUGUUUUCAGAUAUCUAGAGCUUGGAAAUGAAGAUGGGCUUUAGUCCUAAGUCAGCGAUUCUUUUUCAUGUUAGAUUUUCAGGCAACAACCAUUUGGCGACUUCAUAGUGACCCCAGCUGAACCUAUAUCUAGUCACUUUGCACACAUUUUAAAUUAAAAUUCUUCCAGUCUCAUAUUUGUCUACUCUGUUAGGUGAGAAAAUAGGUUCUAGGCUGGGAAGGACAUAAUAAAUCCAUGAAAGUUGCAGAGUACAUGACGAAUGAAACUCUAGAAAUGAAAAACUUCUAUUCAUAAGUGCAUUGAUCUAUUUUUUCCAAAACUGCUCUUAAUUCUGUGUCUCUGUAACAUACCUUUCACCAGCACCAAGAAAAACCAGAAGGGAAGACAUGGCCUUACAUUGGUCUUGUUCACACUGAAGUCUUUAUGCACAUAGGCCUUAGCACUUUGACAGAUAAACUCUACCUUUAGCUCCUCACUGUCAUCUUUAUUCCUCUUACGCUUACACUUUUCCUUUUAUGGGUCGUAUAGAAACUACCUUCUUCAGAGUUGAAUGUACGAUGUUUCUGCACAUGGACAAACUGUAUCUCAAUGACUCCUGUUGAAUAAAGGCAUACAGUUUUACUCUAGCACUUGUGCUUCUCUUUUCUAAAGGAACCAGAUGCCUGCGCAUGGCUUGCUCACCUGUUGCCCCCACCCCUGUGCUUGAUUGCACAAGUGUCCCUGGGUCAUGGCUGUGUCCAUCUCUUUAGUACACACUCAAACAGGGCUCAAGAACUCAUUAGCAACCAAAUGUGUACCUUUCAUGGGCAUGGUGGUGAUCGCCUGUAAUCCUAGUAUUUGGGAGCCUGAGGCAGGAUUGCUGCAAUUCAAGGCCAGCCUGAGCUACAUAGCAAGACCAAGACCAGCCUGAACUACAUGGCAAGACCCUGUCUCAAAAGAAAAAAAUAUACAAGCUGUAAUAAAAACAUUGUAGUACUGGCAUAAGGACAGAUAAACCAAACCAUUGUAGUAGAGUAACCUAGAAAUAAGCCCACCCAUGUGCUAUCAAAUGAUUUUCAAAGUGAGUGCCAAGGUCAGUCAAUGUGGAAAAGACAGUGUUCAGCAAAGGGUGUUGGAAAAUCUGGAUGUCCAUGUGCAAAAGAAUGAAGGUGACCCUUACCUAACACCAUAAACAAAAAUUAAGGAGAAAAAGUUUAUAAAACUUGCAUAAAAACUUCAUAAUUGAUUUGAAAAUUAUUUGUAGAACAUGCAAAAACUGGCUGCAAAAGAAAGGAUUGUUGUACCCUAGACUGUAUCAAAGGAUAUUAUUGAUAGAGUGAAAAGGCCAGCUAAAGAAAGGUGAAAAGUAUUUGCAAAUCAUCUGAUAAAAAUUACUUCAAAUAUGCAAGUAUAAAGGACAACUCAUGGGCAAAAGGGUAGAUAUUUUUCCAAAACAGACACAGCAGAAACAAAAAAUGUCAGGGAUGUGGUGAGAUGAACUCUUACACAUUGCUGAUGGAAAGGUAAAACAGUGCAGUUGUGGAAGCCCUGAUUGGUCCUUGAAAAUUUAAGAACUACCAUAUGGUCCAUCUAUGCCCCUCCUAGGCAUAUGCCCAAAGCAGUGAAAACAGACUCAAAACAUUUGCAUGCCAAUGUUCAUAAUAUUAUUUAUUCACAAUAGUCUUACAGUAGUAGGAACCCUAAUGUUUACUGACAGAUGGUUGGGUAAAAUGUGAUAUAUAUGUGCAGUGGGGUAUUCAGCCUUAAGGAAGAGAAUUCUGACACAUGCUACAUGGAUCAACCUGGAAGACAUACC